AGUGAACGCUGGCGGUAGGCCUAACACAUGCAAGUCGAACGGCAGCACAGGAGAGCUUGCUCUCUGGGUGGCGAGUGGCGGACGGGUGAGGAAUACAUCGGAAUCUACUCUGUCGUGGGGGAUAACGUAGGGAAACUUACGCUAAUACCGCAUACGACCUACGGGUGAAAGCAGGGGAUCUUCGGACCUUGCGCGACUGAAUGAGCCGAUGUCGGAUUAGCUAGUUGGCGGGGUAAAGGUCCACCAAGGCGACGAUCCGUAGCUGGUCUGAGAGGAUGAUCAGCCACACUGGAGCUGAGACACGGUCCAGACUCCUACGGGAGGCAGCAGUGGGGAAUAUUGGACAAUGGGCGCAAGCCUGAUCCAGCCAUACCGCGUGGGUGAAGGAGGCCUUCGGGUUGUAAAGCCCUUUUGUUGGGAAAGAAAUCCAGCUGGCUAAUACCCGGUUGGGAUGACGGUACCCAAAGAAUAAGCACCGGCUAACUUCGUGCCAGCCGCCGCCGUAA
rnacentral:rRNA from 1 species